UCCAAGAUGAUCUGCAGAAUCCUGACCUCUUGGCAUUGAUACACCUGUAGAGUUCCCUCCCACACUGAACAGGGUUGAGGAUAUUGAAGAAAUGGUGGUGUGUGACAUCUGAGCCUAGGUCACAAAAGACACUGUAGCUUCUUUCUUGCUCUCUUAGAUCACUCAUUCUAGGAGAGACCUUGGGAGAAGAAGUCAUGAGGACAGUCAACUAGCUCUUUGAAGAGGUCCACAUGGUGGGAAACUGAGGCCUCCUGCCAACGGCCUUGUGAGUGAAUCAUCUUGGAGGUGGAUCCUCAAGCCCCUGUAAAACCUUCAGAUGACCACACAUCUGACUGACAUUUUGACCUCAAUGUUAUGAAAAAUCUUGAGGCCGAAGCACCCACCUAAACCAAUCCUGUAUUCUUCACCUACAGAAACUAUGAGCUAGUCUUCAAUCUGGUCUGGAGUUCAAGCCCUGCCUCUGGAGUCAUGUCCCACCUCCUACUUCACCAGUACCUUCCCUCUCCUCCUGAUUAGUGUGAGGAUAGCUCAUUUCAGAGUCUACACCACUGAGAGGGCAGAAGAAAUGUGCCAGAUUAACUAUUUAUUGUUUUGUAAUACGAUGUAGCCAAAUGCUUUCACUCUACGAUGUCCCCCAGCCAAACUCCUCAGAUUAGUCAAUUAGGAUUCAUCCAUGCACCAAGAAGGAAGAAGAGGACAGAUAUUGAGGGGCAACUAAUAGUAUCAGCACAAUGGAUUGACUUAUGCAAGGAUAGAGAAGAAUAUCAGCACUGUCAGGACUCAUGGCAGAGAGAUCAGCAUCAUUUUCUAGGACAUAAAAAGGUGUUUGGAUAUUUUUAGAAGAUUCCCCUUUGUCAAAGAUCCCGUGGCUUGGUGUGAAGUGGUGUGAGCUGUGCCCAGUGGAACAUUUAGGUCAUUGGUUGGGUGAGAACUCUGUUCUCUGCAUCCUUGUAGAAUGUACAUAUAAAUAUGACUUUAAAUAAAAGUCAGCAUUUUCUGAAUUUCUUU